UACGUAGGUGGCAAGCGUUGUUCGGAAUCACUGGGCUUAAAGGGCGCGUAGGCGGCCUGCCAAGUCAGGAGUGAAAUCUUUCGGCUCAACCGGAAAAGUGCUUUUGAUACUGGCGGGCUAGAGGGAGAUAGGGGCAUGUGGAACUUCCGGUGGAGCGGUGAAAUGCGUUGAUAUCGGAAGGAACGCCGGUGGCGAAAGCGACGUGCUGGACCUCUUCUGACGCUGAGGCGCGAAAGCCAGGGGAGCGAACGGG
rnacentral:rRNA from 1 species